UCAAGCGAACAAGUGCAUGUGGUGGAUGCCUUGGCGAUCACAGGCGAUGAAGGACGCGGUAGCCUGCGAAAAGCUACGGGGAGCUGGCAAACGAGCUUUGAUCCGUAGAUGUCCGAAUGGGGAAACCCACUCCUUUUGGAGUAUCCAUGGCUGAAUACAUAGGCCAUGUGAAGCGAACGCGGUGAACUGAAACAUCUAAGUAACCGCAGGAAAAGAAAUCAACCGAGAUUCCCAAAGUAGUGGCGAGCGAAAUGGGAUGAGCCUUGCACUCUUUAUUUGUAUUGUUAGCCGAACGCUCUGGAAAGUGCGGCCAUAGCAGGUGAUAGCCCUGUAGGCGAAAACAGUAUGAAAGAACUAGGUGUGCGACAAGUAGGGCGGGACACGUGAAAUCCUGUCUGAAGAUGGGGGGACCAUCCUCCAAGGCUAAAUACUCGUGAUCGACCGAUAGUGAACCAGUACCGUGAGGGAAAGGCGAAAAGAACCCCGGGAGGGGAGUGAAAUAGAUCCUGAAACCGCAUGCAUACAAACAGUCGGAGCCUCGUAAGGGGUGACGGCGUACCUUUUGUAUAAUGGGUCAGCGACUUACGUUCAGUAGCAAGCUUAACCGUAUAGGGCAGGCGUAGCGAAAGCGAGUCCGAAUAGGGCGUUCAGUUGCUGGGCGUAGACCCGAAACCAAGUGAUCUAUCCAUGGCCAGGAUGAAGGUGCGGUAACACGUACUGGAGGUCCGAACCCACUAACGUUGAAAAGUUAGGGGAUGAGCUGUGGAUAGGGGUGAAAGGCUAAACAAACUUGGAAAUAGCUGGUUCUCUCCGAAAACUAUUUAGGUAGUGCCUCGUGUCUCACCUUCGGGGGUAGAGCACUGUCAUGGUUGGGGGGUCUAUUGCAGAUUACCCCGCCAUAGCAAACUCCGAAUACCGAAGAGUGCAAUCACGGGAGACAGACAUCGGGUGCUAACGUCCGGUGUCAAGAGGGAAACAACCCAGACCGCCAGCUAAGGUCCCCAAAUAUAGCUAAGUGGGAAACGAAGUGGGAAGGCUAAAACAGUCAGGAGGUUGGCUUAGAAGCAGCCACCCUUUAAAGAAAGCGUAAUAGCUCACUGAUCGAGUCGUCCUGCGCGGAAGAUGUAACGGGGCUAAGCUAUAUACCGAAGCUGCGGAUGCGUGCUUUGCACGCAUGGUAGGAGAGCGUUCCGUAAGCCUGCGAAGGUGCGUUGAAAAGCGUGCUGGAGGUAUCGGAAGUGCGAAUGCUGACAUGAGUAGCGAUAAAGGGGGUGAAAGGCCCCCUCGCCGUAAGCCCAAGGUUUCCUACGCAACGUUCAUCGGCGUAGGGUGAGUCGGCCCCUAAGGCGAGGCAGAAAUGCGUAGCUGAUGGGAAGCAGGUCAAUAUUCCUGCACCAUUGUUAAAUGCGAUGGGGGGACGGAUCGCGGAAGGUUGUCCGGGUGUUGGAAGUCCCGGUCGCUGCAUUGGAGAAGGCGCUUAGGCAAAUCCGGGCGCAGGAUUCAAGGGUGUGGCGCGAGCUCCUUAGGGAGCGAAGCAAUUGGAAGUGGUUCCAAGAAAAGCCUCUAAGCUUCAGUUUAACAGUGACCGUACCGCAAACCGACACAGGUGGGCGAGAUGAGUAUUCUAAGGCGCUUGAGAGAACUCGGGAGAAGGAACUCGGCAAAUUGGUACCGUAACUUCGGGAUAAGGUACGCCCUUGUAGCUUGACUGGCCUGCGCCAGGAGGGUGAAGGGGUUGCAAUAAACUGGUGGCUGCGACUGUUUAAUAAAAACACAGCACUCUGCAAACACGAAAGUGGACGUAUAGGGUGUGACGCCUGCCCGGUGCCGGAAGAUUAAAUGAUGGGGUGCAAGCUCUUGAUUGAAGUCCCGGUAAACGGCGGCCGUAACUAUAACGGUCCUAAGGUAGCGAAAUUCCUUGUCGGGUAAGUUCCGACCUGCACGAAUGGCGUAACGAUGGCCACACUGUCUCCUCCCGAGACUCAGCGAAGUUGAAGUGUUUGUGAUGAUGCAAUCUACCCGCGGCUAGACGGAAAGACCCCAUGAACCUUUACUGUAGCUUUGCAUUGGACUUUGAACCGAUCUGUGUAGGAUAGGUGGGAGGCUAUGAAACCGGAACGCUAGUUUCGGUGGAGCCGUCCUUGAAAUACCACCCUGGUUUGUUUGAGGUUCUAACCUUGGCCCGUGAUCCGGGUCGGGGACAGUGCAUGGUAGGCAGUUUGACUGGGGCGGUCUCCUCCCAAAGCGUAACGGAGGAGUACGAAGGUACGCUAGGUACGGUCGGAAAUCGUGCUGAUAGUGCAAUGGCAUAAGCGUGCUUAACUGCGAGACCGACAAGUCGAGCAGGUGCGAAAGCAGGUCAUAGUGAUCCGGUGGUUCUGUAUGGAAGGGCCAUCGCUCAACGGAUAAAAGGUACUCUGGGGAUAACAGGCUGAUACCGCCCAAGAGUUCAUAUCGACGGCGGUGUUUGGCACCUCGAUGUCGGCUCAUCUCAUCCUGGGGCUGUAGCCGGUCCCAAGGGUAUGGCUGUUCGCCAUUUAAAGAGGUACGUGAGCUGGGUUUAAAACGUCGUGAGACAGUUUGGUCCCUAUCUGCCGUGGGCGUUGGAUAUUUGAAGGGGGCUGCUCCUAGUACGAGAGGACCGGAGUGGACGAACCUCUGGUGUACCGGUUGUCACGCCAGUGGCAUCGCCGGGUAGCUAUGUUCGGAAGAGAUAACCGCUGAAAGCAUCUAAGCGGGAAACUCGCCUUAAGAUGAGAUAUCCCUGGGGACUAGAUCCCCUUGAAGGGUCGUUCGAGACCAGGACGUUGAUAGGUCAGGUGUGUAAGCGCAGUAAUGCGUUCAGCUAACUGAUACUAAUUGCCCGUAAGGCUUGAUCCU
rnacentral:rRNA from 1 species